rnacentral:rRNA from 1 species
CUACCAUGCAGUCGAACGAUGAAGCCGGAGCUUGCUCUGGUGGAUUAGUGGCGAACGGGUGAGUAACACGUGAGUAACCUGCCCUUGACUCUGGAAUAAGCGUUGGAAACGACGUCUAAUACCGGAUACGAGCUUCCGCCGCAUGGUGAGGAGCUGGAAAGAAUUUCGGUCAAGGAUGGACUCGCGGCCUAUCAGGUAGUUGGUGAGGUAAUGGCUCACCAAGCCUACGACGGGUAGCCGGCCUGAGAGGGUGACCGGCCACACUGGAACUGAGACACGGUCCAGACUCCUACGGGAGGCAGCAGUGGGGAAUAUUGCACAAUGGGCGCAAGCCUGAUGCAGCAACGCCGCGUGAGGGACGACGGCCUUCGGGUUGUAAACCUCUUUUAGUAGGGAAGAAGCGAAAGUGACGGUACCUGCAGAAAAAGCACCGGCUAACUACGUGCCAGCAGCCGCGGUAAUACGUAGGGUGCAAGCGUUAUCCGGAAUUAUUGGGCGUAAAGAGCUCGUAGGCGGUUUGUCGCGUCUGCUGUGAAAACUGGGGGCUCAACCCCCAGCCUGCAGUGGGUACGGGCAGACUAGAGUGCGGUAGGGGAGAUUGGAAUUCCUGGUGUAGCGGUGGAAUGCGCAGAUAUCAGGAGGAACACCGAUGGCGAAGGCAGAUCUCUGGGCCGUAACUGACGCUGA